UGGGGAAUAUUGGACAAUGGGCGAAAGCCUGAUCCAGCGACGCCGCGUGUCGGAAGGAGUCCUUCGGGAUGUAAACGACUUUUGGUGGAGACGAAUAAGCAGCUCAGGGAAUGGGGCUGUGAUGACGGUAUCCAUGGAAUAAGCCCCGGCUAACUACGUGCCAGCAGCCGCGGUAAUACGUAGGGGGCAAGCGUUAUCCGGAUUCAUUGGGCGUAAAGAGCGCGUAGGCGGACUGUUAAGUCAGAUGUGAAAACCGGGGGCUCAAUCCGCGGCCUGCAUCUGAAACUGGCAGUCUUGAGUCUGGUAGAGGAAAGUGGAAUUCCGGGUGUAGUGGUGAAAUGCGUAGAUAUCCGGAGGAACACCAGUGGCGAAGGCGAUUUUCUGGCUCAAGACUGACGCUCAGACGCGAAAGCUAGGGUAGCAAACGG
rnacentral:rRNA from 1 species